AGAACUUGGACGAGUUCAACAGGGUGGGGAAGAUGUCGGGAUGAAGAAGAGGACGAGAGUACGACAUGUUAUAACACGACGAGAACAAAAAUACGGUUUCGACAGCAGAGCUGGUGGCCAAAGUGUUUACGCCGUUCCCCCCGACCAGCCACCGAAUUCCACGGAAUGCCAUGGCAAAGAACGCUCGACUUGUCAACGCCACAGUCAUUUUACUGGCGAAAAACGUCACAAUGCAAGAUAAUCGGGCGGCUAAAAAGGCAGAGGUAGAUCAUGAACAACUUGGAUGCAUGGCGUCAAAGAGGUCAACCAACAGAGUAACAUCCCAACAGAAUCCAUCCACCUAGCCUUUGACCGAAAACUGCACAUACAUCCCUUCUACAUCUUACGGUGGAAAAAAUAAAAAUAAAAUUACCUGU